rnacentral:antisense_RNA from 1 species
UGUGGGAGCGAGCCUGCUCGCGAUGGCGGCGUGUCAGUCGACAUUGAUGCAAACUGAUCCGCCGCUAUCGCGAGCAGGCUCGCUCCCACA